AGCAGCCGCGGUAAUUCCAGCUCCAAUAGCGUAUAUUAAAGUUGUUGCAGUUAAAAAGCUCGUAGUUGAAUUUCGGAAUCAGUAUGUCGGUCGUGCCUCUGGUAUGUACUGGCGUCACUGGUUCCUCCCUUCUGACGAACCAUCAUGCUAUUAAUUUAGUGUGGUGGGAAAUCAGGACUGUUACUUUGAAAAAAUUAGAGUGUUUAAAGCAGGCUCACGCUUGAAUACAUUAGCAUGGAAUAAUGAAAUAGGACGUUGAUCCUAUUUUGUUGGUUUCUAGGAUUGACGUAAUGAUUAAUAGGGAUAGUUGGGGGCAUUAGUAUUCAAUUGUCAGAGGUGAAAUUCUUGGAUUUAUUGAAGACUAACUACUGCGAAAGCAUUUGCCAAGGAUGUUUUCAUUAAUCAAGAACGAAAGUUAGGGGAUCGAAGACGAUCAGAUACCGUCGUAGUCUUAACCAUAAACUAUGCCGACUAGGGAUCGGAUGAUGUUAAUUUUUUAAUGUACUCAUUC
rnacentral:rRNA from 1 species